GGCCAAAACAAGGGACCAUGAGGUCCCCUCGAUGAUGUUCCGACCGACGGCGCAACCAGCGUGGGACGGCCGUCGGCAGGAGGAGAGGCGACCCGGCGGCAAGAGAAGGCCAAAACUGGUGGUCGGCGGUGACCACCGGCGUCGGAAUCAAAGGAAAACGGUCAAAAAAUGAAGCUUACUUUCGCAACAAAAUCCGGCGACUCCAGUUGCCGGCGAGCAUGCACAUCGGCACGGGAAGGAAGGGGGAGAAGAGAGGAAGGGGAGGAGGCUUACCUCCGUCGCCAGCGAAGCUUUUUCGGUGAGAAAUUGGACGGCACAGUGAUGGGUCUCCGUGAGGAAUUUCCGACGAUUGCCGCCGUUUUGCCCCAAGAUUUCUCGAUGAGAGGAGAGAGGAGGGUUCUCCUUAAAUAGAGCCGGAGGGAACUCGUCUCCGACUCCGAUUGGGAGCCGGCAAGAGGAGGAAGAAGACUCCCCCUUUGGGAGUCUUCUUCCCCCUUUUUUUUUUGGGCUUUGUUACAUGGGUUGGGAUUUUUACAUGGGUUGGGCCAUCACAUUCUUUCCUUCUAAAAGAAAUUUCGUUCUCGAAAUUUUUCUUGCCCG
rnacentral:lncRNA from 1 species